rnacentral:tRNA from 1 species
CGAAUAGAAGCCCGCUGGAUUGGGUGUUUAGCUGUUAACUAAGUAAUCGCGGGAUCAAGGCCCGCCUAUUCAG